rnacentral:rRNA from 1 species
AGCGAACGCUGGCGGCAGGCCUAACACAUGCAAGUCGAACGAACCUUUCGGGGUUAGUGGCGGACGGGUGAGUAACACGUGGGAACGUGCCUUUAGGUUCGGAAUAACUCAGGGAAACUUGUGCUAAUACCGAAUGUGCCCUUCGGGGGAAAGAUCUAUCGCCUUUAGAGGGGCCCGCGUCUGUUUAGUUAGUUGGUUGAGGUAAUGGCUCACCAAAGCGACGAUCAGUAGCUGGUCUGAGAGGAUGAUCAGCCACAUCUGGACUGAGACACGGCCCACACCCCUACGGGAGGCAGCAGUAGGGAAUCUUGCGCAAUGGGCGAAAGCCUGACGCAGCCAUGCCGCGUGAAUGAUGAAGCUAUUAGGAUUGUAAAAUUCUCUCACCGGGGACGAUAAUGACGGUACCCGGAGAAGAAGCCCCGGCUAACUACGUG